ensembl:lncRNA
CAGAGUUCCUUGCGGAAUCGUGCUGAGAGUUAGUUAGAAUCCUUGCAAAAUGGGUGAGUGGUCAGAAUUCCUUGCGGAAUGGGUGAGUGGUCAGAAUUCCUUGUGGAAUGGGUGAGUGGUCAGAAUUCCUUGCGGAAUGGGUGAGAGGUGACAGAAUUCCUUCGAGAGUAGGUGGGUAGUGUCAGAAUUCCUUUGGGAGAAGGUGAAAGUGGUUCAAAUUUCCUUUAGGAGCAAGUGUGGGUGGUCAUAAACUCCUGUAGGACCGGGUGGGAGUGGGACUUUAAAAAAAAACCCUGCACACCUCUUCUCCAUCGUGCAAAUUUUGCAUCCCUCUGCACCCAAGACUCGCCAUCCAAAGUUGGAAGUAACAUGUAUGAAGUAUGGUGUUUUUCAGAGACUAACCACAUCUACAUUUGGGUUAAAGCUAAAUGUGCAUAAAUGAAAUGUUUAGCUGAAGACUUAGAGUCUUAACAUGCAAUAACUGCCCUCUCCUACUAAAAUACGUCAUUAGAAACACAUGAAAUAUGUUCAUUAGCUUAAAAAUCCUUAAUAUUUGAUACAUAUUUUAACGUACGGAGGCCGCCAUUACGUGACAUGGGCAAUGGUUGCACUCGAGCACUCAAAAG